rnacentral:rRNA from 1 species
ACGCUCGACACCUACGGGAGGCAGCAGUGGGGAAUAUUGCACAAUGGGGGAAACCCUGAUGCAGCGACGCCGCGUGAGUGAAGAAGUAUUUCGGUAUGUAAAGCUCUAUCAGCAGGGAAGAAGAUGACGGUACCUGAGUAAGAAGCCCCGGCUAACUACGUGCCAGUAGCCGCGGUAAUCUGAGGCGGCUGGCAAGGC